rnacentral:lncRNA from 1 species
CUGAAUCUGAAGAGAAUGAAUUGUGACAACACAUGAAGUCUAGUAUGAAUGGACUUGCUGUGAAUUUUUACUGAUUAAGCCCGUUUACUGAUUAAGCCCGAUGAUUGAUGAAGAGUUACACCGGUCAUCAUCCCUGGAAAACAGAGUAGUAGAUACUUUAUAAUCAGGGGGAAAAGAUUGGCAAAGCAGAACACUGAGAGCUUAUGUAAUCAAGAAGCCACCAGAGGGGCUGGGGAUUUAGCUCAGCGGCACAAGCACCUGCUUGCAAGGUGAGUGAGUCGUGAGUUCGAUCCCUG